rnacentral:rRNA from 1 species
GAUGAACGCUAGCGGCAGGCCUAAUACAUGCAAGUCGGACGGGAUCCAUCGGCGAGCUUGCUCGAAGAUGGUGAGAGUGGCGCACGGGUGCGUAACGCGUGAGCAGCCUACCUCUAUCAGGGGGAUAGCCUCUCGAAAGAGAGAUUAACACCGCAUAACAUCAACAGUUCGCAUGUUCAGUUGAUUAAAUAUUUAUAGGAUAGAGAUGGGCUCGCGUGACAUUAGCUAGUUGGUAGGGUAACGGCUUACCAAGGCGACGAUGUCUAGGGGCUCUGAGAGGAGAAUCACCCACACUGGUACUGAGACACGGACCAGACUCCUACGGGAGGCAGCAGUAAGGAAUAUUGGUCAAUGGGCGGAAGCCUGAACCAGCCAUGCCGCGUGCAGGAUGACUGCCCUAUGGGUUGUAAACUGCUUUUGUCCAGGAAUAAACCCAGAUACGUGUAUCUGGCUGAAUGUACUGGAAGAAUAAGGAUCGGCUAACUCCGUGCCAGCCGCCGCAGUAAGAC